UACGGAGGAGCCAAGCGUUGUCCGGAUUGACUGGGCGUAAAGCGCACGCAGGCGGAUGCGCGCGUGGGGUGUGAAAUCUGGCCGCUUAACGGCCAGGCGCCAUCCCAUACGGCGCGUCUGGAGUGAUGCAGAGGUCGAUGGAAUUGCCGGUGUAGUGGUGAAAUGCGUAGAGAUCGGCAGGAACACCCAGGGGGAAACCAGUCGACUGGGCAUCUACUGACGCUGAGGUGCGAGAGCGUGGGGAGCGAACCGG
rnacentral:rRNA from 1 species